UUUAUCGCCGCUGCGAGGUGAGCAACGCCCAGCUUGAGAGAAAUAGCUAUGGAGGCUUGUCUAGUAGGCCAACGCCUGCAAGCCUGACUGUAGAGCUCGAGAGUUGCUUUUGCUGUCAGCUACUGUACCACACUGGAGGUUUAUUUUGAUCUGAAAAGACUCAAGAGCUUAGACGAGACAAAUGAAUCAACAAUUAAAACAAAUAUUGGAUUGCCCGUCUGGUGUCCGACUCACUCUGGGAGGGUUGCACUUGUAAUUGGUGCCUCAUCAUCCAACAAUGGGGGAUGGACCUACCGAUCCACCACCAGAGGCGGCAUAGCCUACUCCACGUCCGGGUUACAAGAAUGACGUCGUAGACAGGGUUGCCAGUGCCCUGAUUUACGUGAUGUCCACUCACCCCGGUUACAUUAUCAAAGCUCCCUCAACCUCGCUCCUGGGCCGACAUGCCUAUGAGUCGAUGAAGAUGGACUGAUAUUUCGAGUCAAGUGAAGCAUGAAAAAAGCUCCAUAAUCUUUGACUUCGUUGUCACGUUUCAUCUGACCAUAGAGGAAUAAAGAAAUCACAAAUGACUUGAAUAAUUGAUUGGCUGUUAAGAUGGAUUGCCUUAAAUCACCCAUUCGUCUUGGUGAGAGGGGAAAAUGUUUUAAAAUGGCGUCGCAUUAGCUUGAUCGAGUUGUUAAUUAUUCAGGAUAAAAGAAAACAGUGUGUG